rnacentral:rRNA from 1 species
AACGAACGCUGGCGGCGCGUCUUAAGCAUGCAAGUCGGACGGCAGUGCAGCAAUGCACGAGAGUGGCGGACUGGUGAGUAACACGUGGGUGACGUACCCUUCUGAUGGGGAUAGCUACUAGAAAUAGUAGGUAAUACCGAAUACGACUGAUAUUGUCAGAGGAUAUCAGGGAAAGGGAGCUCAGGCUCUGCGGAAGGAACGGCUCGCGGCCCAUUAGCCGGUUGGUGAGGUAAAGGCCCACCAAAGCGAUGAUGGGUAUCCGGCCUAAGAGGGUAGACGGACACAUUGGGACUGAGAUACGGCCCAGACUCCUACGGGAGGCAGCAGCUAAGAAUAUUCCGCAAUGGACGAAAGUCUGACGGAGCGACGCCGCGUGGACGAUGAAGGCCGAAAGGUUGUAAAGUUCUUUUGAACUGGACGAAUAAGUAUGACAGGUAAUGGUCAUAUGGUGACGGUACAGUUUGAAUAAGCAACGGCUAAUUACGUG